rnacentral:rRNA from 1 species
GACGAACGCUGGCGGCGUGCUUAACACAUGCAAGUCGAACGGAAAGGCCCUGCUUUUGUGGGGUGCUCGAGUGGCGAACGGGUGAGUAACACGUGAGUAACCUGCCCUUGACUUUGGGAUAACUUCAGGAAACUGGGGCUAAUACCGGAUAGGAGCUCCUGCUGCAUGGUGGUCGUUGGAAAGUUUCGGCGGUUGGGGAUGGACUCGCGGCUUAUCAGCUUGUUGGUGGGGUAGUGGCUUACCAAGGCUUUGACGGGUAGCCGGCCUGAGAGGGUGACCGGCCACAUUGGGACUGGGAUACGGCCCAGACUCCUACGGGAGGCAGCAGUGGGGAAUAUUGCACAAUGGGCGGAAGCCUGAUGCAGCAACGCCGCGUGCGGGAUGACGGCCUUCGGGUUGUAAACCGCCUUCGCCUGUGACGAAGCGUGAGUGACGGUAAUGGGUAAAGAAGCACCGGCUAACUACGUG